rnacentral:lncRNA from 1 species
GAAGCCGUGUGUCAGCGGCGUGCAGUGCUGAUGUAAACAACGGCGGUCAGUGGGUUAGCCUUCAGCGAACAGGCUGCCAAUGCCCGCAACCGGUCACAUUCCGGCUGACAUCAGUGGAGCACAUGAUAAACCAUGAUUACCACUGAGGUCGCAAGAGAGUUCCAGGCCAAAGAGCGCAAAUACAAAGAGCAGCUGAGGAGAAGCUUGUCAUCAGCUUUGUCUGCAGACCUUAACAGCUUACUGCAGGAGGAGCUGGAAGCUGAUGUGACUCUGUGUGCUGCCUCAGGCUCACUCCGAGCGCACAGGGCAGUACUGUUGGCCAGAGCCCCACAUGUCUUUCAGAGACCGACGCACAAUGAUCCAACCAUCAUUCAUCUCCCUGAAUAUGAACUGUCUGAGCUAAAAGAUUUCCUCAGGCGAGUCUAUACUGCAGACCAGAGCAUGCACUGGGCAGAAAAAAUCCCAGGCAUGGAGGGCAUUCUGCCAAGAAGAACUCUGUCUGUUCCAGAGCAGGCGGAUCUUCGCAGUUCCACUGACUCAGAUGCUGUUGUUCUUGAGCCAGCCUCUUGUCUUGGAGCUGACUUGCUGGACCUUUACCAAAGGGGAGAGCAGUGUGACAUUACCAUCCAAGUAGCAGAGCAGGUCUUCUCCUGCCACAGGUAGAAGCGCUUUCUCUGUAUCAAUACAUUCAUUGCCCAAAAGACAGUCC